CAUUGGAGAUUGGCUUAACCAAGCGCACACAAGAGUUGUUCGUUGUCAAAGGCCGGUGCAAAAUGAAACAUCAUAGCAGAGGACAUCAUCUUCUAUUUUUGAUCAGUUAAAAUUGUUUGGCUUGUAACCUAAGCCGUUAUUUUGUUUUUUGAUAAUGCCAUGUUUAAAAUUUUAUAAUCAUUGGUAAAUGUUCAAUUAAUAAAUGUUUUUGAAUUACUUGUGUAA